rnacentral:lncRNA from 1 species
UGCAAGGGAUGACUAUGAUAUUAUGCCUGAAAUGAGUUCUAUAGAUCCAGUGACUAUCACGAUAAUACAGUGAGUCGGAUUCUCGAUUCGGGAAUCCGAUUCAUUUCACAUUCCAAACUGCUGUGAAUAAUACACUUCUGUUGUCUUGCAGCCACAGCAGGCGCAUUCAGCUCAGGUUACUCAGAUUACCCUGAAUAUGCAAGAAAAAGAUUAAUUAACAUCACAAGGCGAGAGAAGAAUCUUGAAUGAACUAGACCAAAAUUCAUGUUGCACUGCAUCUAAAUGUAAAACAGUUCACCAUGCAUAAAUGAAAGAAACAAGCCUCUGAGAAAUUUCUUUGAACACACGAAUCUGGAGUAAAGGAUCUAAUAACCGGAGUACAAAACAGACCGUUAAUAAAGCAAUAUGAACUAUAGAUAGAAAUUUAUAGCCGACAGUGAAUCAAAUCAAGUAUCCAACAUACAGGGUUUUCAAUCCGUUAUGGACUGUCAGCUGGAAAAAAAGUACACAAAGUACAAUUAAAGUAAUUUUGUUCAUAUGUAUAAACCUUGAGUCCAUUAUGCAAUACAAAGUUACAGACAUACAGUAAACUGAAGUUUUUCCACUUCCACUGAGAAAAAACUGCAGCAGCCCUAAUAACAUAACAAGAAAGUCAGAAUUCAUACACCAAAACCCAUCCAUCAAUCCUUCAUCUCGUAUUCCAUGAUUGAUAAACAUAUUUUAAUUCUUUUUUUUGAAAGGAUAACACAUUUUAAUUCUUAUGAAACAAUCUCCGUUGCUUCAAAAGAAGAGAACGAAAGGCAAGGUGUCACACAAAUUUAGCCCAGAUUACUGUAAUAUCCCACUAGUGUAAUCUAACAAUUUGGAAACCGAGCCACAUCUGUAUUGUCACAUGCAUCCCCAUUUAUCACAGAUAACUGCUCAAAUUAAAACUAAGUGGACGACUGGAGUAAAGUUAAGUCACAAAAUCACAAUGAACGGGUAGGAUAGAAGAACACCUGGACUAGAACUGCUGCACCAUGACCGUCGUGCACCUGGGAGGAAACUGUCGCGCCCGGUUCCAAGGCCAUACACACCCAGCGAGGCUGCCGAGGCUGCGGAGCCGGAUCUGUAUGGCUCGUGCUGGUGGCCGUGUGGGGUAGAUGCGGGCGGCGCAAGGAAGUGGAAGUGCUGGCGCAGAAAGGGCAGGGGAGCGUGUGAUGGACGAACCGCGGGGGAGACGAUUGGUCGACGGCGGUGGCUGAGGAACGCGAGUGUGACAAAC